GUUUUUUGCUGGCUUCGUCAAGAGGUCUGCUCCCCUUAAAUGUAUUAGCCGGUACCCUUGUGGAGUCGUCUAUUGGUGUGAUAAUUAUCUACGCGUGGGCCUUCACUUUAAAUGGAUUGUACUGCUUCUAACCGUCCGUUAAGUCGGACAAAUAAUGACAAUUUGACCUCAAAUCAGGUAGGACUACCCGCUGAACUUAA
rnacentral:misc_RNA from 1 species